AACGAACGCUGGCGGCAUGCCUAACACAUGCAAGUCGAACGAGACCUUCGGGUCUAGUGGCGCACGGGUACGUAACGCGUGGGAACCUGCCCUUAGGUUCGGAAUCACUCCCCGAAAGGGGUGCUAAUACCGGAUAAUGUCUUCGGACCAAAGAUUUAUCGCCUUUGGAUGGGCCCGCGUUGGAUUAGCCAGUUGGUAGGGUAAAAGCCUACCAAGGCGACGAUCCAUAGCUGGUCUGAGAGGAUGAUCAGCCACACUGGGACUGAGACACGGCCCAGACUCCUACGGGAGGCAGCAGUGGGGAAUAUUGGACAAUGGGCGAAAGCCUGAUCCAGCAAUGCCGCGUGAGUGAUGAAGGCCUUAGGGUUGUAAAGCUCUUUUACCCGGGAUGAUAAUGACAGUACCGGGAGAAUAAGCUCCGGCUAACUCCGUG
rnacentral:rRNA from 1 species